rnacentral:rRNA from 1 species
UGGGGAAUCUUGCACAAUGGAGGAAACUCUGAUGCAGCGACGCCGCGUGAGCGAUGAAGCCCUUCGGGGUGUAAAGCUCUUUCGACGGGAACGAUAAUGACGGUACCCGGAGAAGAAGCUGCGGCUAACUACGUGCCAGCAGCCGCGGUAAUACGUAGGCAGCGAGCGUUGUUCGGAAUUACUGGGCGUAAAGAGUGUGUAGGCGGUGCUCUAAGUUCGGUGUGAAAUCUCCUGGCUUAACUGGGAGGGUGCGCCGGAAACUGGGGUGCUCGAGCGUGGGAGAGGAAAGCGGAAUUCCUGGUGUAGCGGUGAAAUGCGUAGAUAUCAGGAGGAACACC